GGGUUGUGAGGUUAAGCGACUAAGCGUACACGGUGGAUGCCCUGGCAGUCAGAGGCGAUGAAGGACGUGCUAAUCUGCGAUAAGCGUCGGUAAGGUGAUAUGAACCGUUAUAACCGGCGAUUUCCGAAUGGGGAAACCCAGUGUGUUUCGACACACUAUCAUUAACUGAAUCCAUAGGUUAAUGAGGCGAACCGGGGGAACUGAAACAUCUAAGUACCCCGAGGAAAAGAAAUCAACCGAGAUUCCCCCAGUAGCGGCGAGCGAACGGGGAGCAGCCCAGAGCCUGAAUCAGUGUGUGUGUUAGUGGAAGCGUCUGGAAAGGCGCGCGAUACAGGGUGACAGCCCCGUACACAAAAAUGCACAUGCUGUGAGCUCGAUGAGUAGGGCGGGACACGUGGUAUCCUGUCUGAAUAUGGGGGGACCAUCCUCCAAGGCUAAAUACUCCUGACUGACCGAUAGUGAACCAGUACCGUGAGGGAAAGGCGAAAAGAACCCCGGCGAGGGGAGUGAAAAAGAACCUGAAACCGUGUACGUACAAGCAGUGGGAGCACGCUUAGGCGUGUGACUGCGUACCUUUUGUAUAAUGGGUCAGCGACUUAUAUUCUGUAGCAAGGUUAACCGAAUAGGGGAGCCGAAGGGAAACCGAGUCUUAACUGGGCGUUAAGUUGCAGGGUAUAGACCCGAAACCCGGUGAUCUAGCCAUGGGCAGGUUGAAGGUUGGGUAACACUAACUGGAGGACCGAACCGACUAAUGUUGAAAAAUUAGCGGAUGACUUGUGGCUGGGGGUGAAAGGCCAAUCAAACCGGGAGAUAGCUGGUUCUCCCCGAAAGCUAUUUAGGUAGCGCCUCGUGAAUUCAUCUCCGGGGGUAGAGCACUGUUUCGGCAAGGGGGUCAUCCCGACUUACCAACCCGAUGCAAACUGCGAAUACCGGAGAAUGUUAUCACGGGAGACACACGGCGGGUGCUAACGUCCGUCGUGAAGAGGGAAACAACCCAGACCGCCAGCUAAGGUCCCAAAGUCAUGGUUAAGUGGGAAACGAUGUGGGAAGGCCCAGACAGCCAGGAUGUUGGCUUAGAAGCAGCCAUCAUUUAAAGAAAGCGUAAUAGCUCACUGGUCGAGUCGGCCUGCGCGGAAGAUGUAACGGGGCUAAACCAUGCACCGAAGCUGCGGCAGCGACACUAUGUGUUGUUGGGUAGGGGAGCGUUCUGUAAGCCUGUGAAGGUGUACUGUGAGGUAUGCUGGAGGUAUCAGAAGUGCGAAUGCUGACAUAAGUAACGAUAAAGCGGGUGAAAAGCCCGCUCGCCGGAAGACCAAGGGUUCCUGUCCAACGUUAAUCGGGGCAGGGUGAGUCGACCCCUAAGGCGAGGCCGAAAGGCGUAGUCGAUGGGAAACAGGUUAAUAUUCCUGUACUUGGUGUUACUGCGAAGGGGGGACGGAGAAGGCUAUGUUGGCCGGGCGACGGUUGUCCCGGUUUAAGCGUGUAGGCUGGUUUUCCAGGCAAAUCCGGAAAAUCAAGGCUGAGGCGUGAUGACGAGGCACUACGGUGCUGAAGCAACAAAUGCCCUGCUUCCAGGAAAAGCCUCUAAGCAUCAGGUAACAUCAAAUCGUACCCCAAACCGACACAGGUGGUCAGGUAGAGAAUACCAAGGCGCUUGAGAGAACUCGGGUGAAGGAACUAGGCAAAAUGGUGCCGUAACUUCGGGAGAAGGCACGCUGAUAUGUAGGUGAAGUCCCUCGCGGAUGGAGCUGAAAUCAGUCGAAGAUACCAGCUGGCUGCAACUGUUUAUUAAAAACACAGCACUGUGCAAACACGAAAGUGGACGUAUACGGUGUGACGCCUGCCCGGUGCCGGAAGGUUAAUUGAUGGGGUUAGCGCAAGCGAAGCUCUUGAUCGAAGCCCCGGUAAACGGCGGCCGUAACUAUAACGGUCCUAAGGUAGCGAAAUUCCUUGUCGGGUAAGUUCCGACCUGCACGAAUGGCGUAAUGAUGGCCAGGCUGUCUCCACCCGAGACUCAGUGAAAUUGAACUCGCUGUGAAGAUGCAGUGUACCCGCGGCAAGACGGAAAGACCCCGUGAACCUUUACUAUAGCUUGACACUGAACAUUGAGCCUUGAUGUGUAGGAUAGGUGGGAGGCUUAGAAGUGUGGACGCCAGUCUGCAUGGAGCCGGCCUUGAAAUACCACCCUUUAAUGUUUGAUGUUCUAACGUGGACCCGUAAUCCGGGUUGCGGACAGUGUCUGGUGGGUAGUUUGACUGGGGCGGUCUCCUCCUAAAGAGUAACGGAGGAGCACGAAGGUUGGCUAAUCCUGGUCGGACAUCAGGAGGUUAGUGCAAUGGCAUAAGCCAGCUUGACUGCGAGCGUGACGGCGCGAGCAGGUGCGAAAGCAGGUCAUAGUGAUCCGGUGGUUCUGAAUGGAAGGGCCAUCGCUCAACGGAUAAAAGGUACUCCGGGGAUAACAGGCUGAUACCGCCCAAGAGUUCAUAUCGACGGCGGUGUUUGGCACCUCGAUGUCGGCUCAUCACAUCCUGGGGCUGAAGUAGGUCCCAAGGGUAUGGCUGUUCGCCAUUUAAAGUGGUACGCGAGCUGGGUUUAGAACGUCGUGAGACAGUUCGGUCCCUAUCUGCCGUGGGCGCUGGAGAACUGAGGGGGGCUGCUCCUAGUACGAGAGGACCGGAGUGGACGCAUCACUGGUGUUCGGGUUGUCAUGCCAAUGGCACUGCCCGGUAGCUAAAUGCGGAAGAGAUAAGUGCUGAAAGCAUCUAAGCACGAAACUUGCCCCGAGAUGAGUUCUCCCUGACUCCUUGAGAGUCCUGAAGGAACGUUGAAGACGACGACGUUGAUAGGCCGGGUGUGUAAGCGCAGCGAUGCGUUGAGCUAACCGGUACUAAUGAACCGUGAGGCUUAACCUUACAACGCCGAAGGUGUUU
rnacentral:rRNA from 1 species